rnacentral:misc_RNA from 1 species
UAAAUGCGAUACGUAAUGUGAUACGCAAGUUGUAGUGAAUCAUUAAAAUCUUGAACGCAAAUUGCGCUUUUAAGUUUAAAGCUUAAAAGCAUACUACCUUGAGGGUGGAAUAAGAAUUAUAUUGAAUAAAUAAUAUAUAUGUGGGUGGGAUUAAAGAUUGUUUUUUCCUCUCCCAUUAAAAUGAAAUAUUUGAAAUUAAAAUUUCAAAAAUUAAAUUAAAUCAAAUUAACCCACCUCAGGGUAGUAUGAAGUACCCGCUGAACUUAA